GACGAACGCUGGCGGCGUGCUUAACACAUGCAAGUCGAACGGAAAGGCCCUGCUUUUGUGGGGUGCUCGAGUGGCGAACGGGUGAGUAACACGUGAGUAACCUGCCCUUGACUUUGGGAUAACUUCAGGAAACUGGGGCUAAUACCGGAUAGGAGCUCCUGCUGCAUGGUGGGGGUUGGAAAGUUUCGGCGGUUGGGGAUGGACUCGCGGCUUAUCAGCUUGUUGGUGGGGUAGUGGCUUACCAAGGCUUUGACGGGUAGCCGGCCUGAGAGGGUGACCGGCCACAUGGGGACUGAGAUACGGCCCAGACUCCUACGGGAGGCAGAAGUGGGGAAUAUUGCACAAUGGGCGGAAGCCUGAUGCAGCAACGCCGCGUGCGGGAUGACGGCCUUCGGGUUGUAAACCGCUUUCGCCUGUGACGAAGCGUGAGUGACGGUAAUGGGUAAAGAAGCACCGGCUAACUACGUG
rnacentral:rRNA from 1 species